AGACGUCUACAUUAGAUACCCGCGUAGUCCUAGUCGUAAACGAUACUCGCUAGGUGUCGGCCACGGUGCGACCGUUGUCGGUGCCGUAGGGAAGCCGUGAAGCGAGCCACCUGGGAAGUACGGCCGCAAGGCUGAAACUUAAAGGAAUUGGCGGGGGAGCACCACAACGGGUGGAGCUUGCGGUUUAAUUGGAUUCAACGCCGGAAAUCUUACCGGGACCGACAGCAACAUGAAGGCCAGGCUGAAGACUUUGCCGGAUUAGCUG
rnacentral:rRNA from 1 species